rnacentral:rRNA from 1 species
UACGUAGGGUGCAAGCGUUUGUCCGGAAUUAUUGGGCGUAAAGAGCUCGUAGGCGGUCUGUCACGUCGGCUGUGAAAACCCGGGGCUCAACCCCGGGCCUGCAGUCGAUACGGGCAGACUAGAGUGCGGUAGGGGAGACUGGAAUUCCUGGUGUAGCGGUGAAAUGCGCAGAUAUCAGGAGGAACACCGGUGGCGAAGGCGGGUCUCUGGGCCGAUACUGACGCUGAGGAGCGAAAGCGUGGGGAGCGAACAGG